UAUACGUAUAUAUAUUUUUUUUCUUUUUUUCUCAUUUCUUAUGCAGAAUACAAUUCGUUAAAUAUACUUAUGAAUGACACUCCAAAAGGGAACAAAGACGAUUUCUUUGACCUAAACCUAAUCGAAGAAAAAAAAGAUGAAAAGACUAUUAAUAUAACCCCUUUAAAAAUAUAUGACAAAAAUAACAUUGAAAUUAUGUUCCAAUUUGAUAAGGAAAGUUUAGAUUCGGAGAGUACUAAUAUAAAAGCUACUUAUUCGAACAAAUCGGACAAGCUUAUACCUUACUUUGUUUUUGAAGUAAUCAACACUUCUUCCGGUUUUGUUUGCAUUUUUUGCGUUUUUUAUUUUUACAAUGAUUGCUCAUUUAUAAUCUCCCAUUUUAUUCUACAUACGACACAUGUUUUUUCAAUUUCUAAUAUAUAUUUGUGGAUUUUUUUUUUUUUUUUUUUAACAGGCUGUUGUUCCUAAUUAUGUCAAACUGAACAUAUUUAAAGCUUCGUCAACUGAAUUGUUACCCUUCGAAGAAAACAAAAUAACACAAAAUAUGCUAAUUGUUAACAAACUUUUUAAAAAAAAACCAGUCCUUAUGAAAGUUAGGAUAUCAUAUACAAAAGACAACGAAAAAAUACAAGAUUUUAUUAAUAUAGGGAAUUUUCCUGAUGUUUUAUAAUAUAUAUACACAUGUGUAAAUAUACAUAUGUGUAAAUAUACACAUGUGUAAAUAUACAUAUGUGUAAAUAUACAUAUGUGUAAAUAUACAUAUAUAUAUAUAUAUAACGAAGAAAAAAAAAAAAAAACUUUGUCCCUAUUCCCUUUCACAUUUUAUUUUUUAUAAAAAAUUAGAAAAAACAUUAACACAUAUGGACAUAUAACAUAUGGGUAUGUAUGUCACAUAUGAAUGUUGUUCCACAUACAUUCAUUCGUUCACUCAUCUAAUCAUACAAUUACCCAAUCGUUCAUUUUUUUUUUUUUUUUUUUUUUUUUUUUGGUAUUUUAUUACGCUUGUAUUUGUUACUUUAUUCGAUUAUUAUAUUAUGUUUGAUAAUUAUAUUCUGUUCGAUAAUUAUAUUUUGUUCGAUAAUUAUAUUAUGUUCGAUAAUUAUAUUCUGUUCGAUUAUUUUAUUAUGUUCGAUU
rnacentral:lncRNA from 1 species